rnacentral:rRNA from 1 species
CGUGUCCUACGGGGCGCAGCAGUGGGGAAUAUUGCACAAUGGGGGGAACCCUGAUGCAGCGACGCUGCGUGAGUGAAGAAGUAUCUCGGUACGUAAAGCUCUAUCAGCAGGAAAGAAAAUGACGGUACCUGACUAAGAAGCCCCGGCUAACUACGUGCCAGCAGCCGCGGUAAUACGUAGGGGGCAAGCGUUAUCCGGAUUUACUGGGUGUAAAGGGAGCGGAGACGGCGCUGCAAGUCCG